rnacentral:rRNA from 1 species
GACGAAACGCUGGCGGCGUGGAUUAGGCAUGCAAGUCGAACGGUAUCAUCCUUUCGGGGGUGAGAGAGUGGCGAACUGGUGAGUAACACGUAGGUUAUCUACCCUCAAGACGAGGACAACCCAGGGAAACUUGGGCUAAUACCGGAUGUGAGCAACUUUUAGUUGUUUGAAAGGUUGGCGUAAGCUGUCGCUUGGGGAUGAGCCUGCGUCCUAUUAGUUAGUUGGUGAGGUAACGGCUCACCUAGGCAAUGAUAGGUAGGCGGCCUUAACGGGUGGUCGCCCACACUGGGAUUGAGAUACGGCCCAGACUCCUACGGGAGGCAGCAGUCGAGAAUAGUCUACAAUGGUCGGAAGACUGAUAGUGCGACGCCGCGUGAACGAUGAAUCCCUUCGGGGUGUAAAGUUCUUUUAUAUGUGAGCAGUGCUUCUUAUAUUAACAGUAUGGGGAGAGAGAUAUUAGCAUAUGAAUAAGCAACGGCUAACUCCGUGCCCAGCAGCCGAC